GACGAACGCUGGCGGCGUGCCUAACACAUGCAAGUCGAACGGGGAAACUCAGCAAUGGGAAUCCUAGUGGCGAACGGGUGAGUAACGCGUAGACAACCGGCCUUUUAGAUGGGGACAACACCGCGAAAGUGGUGCUAAUACCGAAUGAGAUACCAAAAGUGCAUACCUUUGGUAUGAAAGGUGGCCUCUAGAACUAAACUACCGCUAAAAGAAGGGUAUGCGUCUGAUUAGCUAGUAGGCGGGGUAAAAGCCCACCUAGGCGACGAUCAGUAGCCGGUCUGAGAGGACGACCAGCCACACUGGGACUGAGACACGGCCCAGACUCCUACGGGAGGCAGCAGUGGGGAAUUUUGGACAAUGGGGGCAACCCUGAUCCAGCCAUCCCGCGUGUGCGAUGAAGGCCUUCGGGUUGUAAAGCACUUUUGGCAGAGAAGAAACGACUCUGGAUAAUACCCGGGGUUAAUGACGGUAUCUGCAGAAUAAGCACCGGCUAACUACGUGCCAGCCGCCGCGGUAA
rnacentral:rRNA from 1 species